rnacentral:lncRNA from 1 species
UUCCAGUCCCUCUUCGCGCCCAGCUGGCCACGCCCCUUCCCAACUCGCUCCUCCCCCAUUAGGCCGGCGGCGCGCGAAAAGCGCGUCACGUGACGGCUGGCCCCGCCUCUUCCUCUCGGUCCCAUAUUGAACUCGAGUUGGAAGAGGCGAGUCCGGUCUCAAAAUGGAGGGCCAUGAUCCAAAGGAACCAGAACAGUUGAGAAAACUGUUUAUCGGUGGUCUGAGCUU